rnacentral:piRNA from 1 species
UGUGGAGUCUCUCCCAGUCUAACGUAUGACC